ACGCUCGACACCUACGGAGCAGCAGUAGGGAAUCUUCCACAAUGGGCGCAAGCCUGAUGGAGCAACACCGCGUGAGUGAAGAAGGGUUUCGGCUCGUAAAGCUCUGUUGUUGGAGAAGAACGUGCGUGAGAGUAACUGUUCACGCAGUGACGGUAUCCAACCAGAAAGUCACGGCUAACUACGUGCGAGCAGCCGCGGUAAUCUGAGCGGGCUGGCAAGGC
rnacentral:rRNA from 1 species